rnacentral:rRNA from 1 species
GAUGAACGCUGGCGGCGUGCCUAAUACAUGCAAGUCGAGCGAAUGGAUUAAGAGCUUGCUCUUAUGAAGUUAGCGGCGGACGGGUGAGUAACACGUGGGUAACCUGCCCAUAAGACUGGGAUAACUCCGGGAAACCGGGGCUAAUACCGAAUAACAUUUUGAACCGCAUGGUUCGAAAUUGAAAGGCGGCUUCGGCUGUCACUUAUGGAUGGAACCGCGUCGCAUUAGCUAGUUGGUGAGGUAACGGCCCACCAAGGCAACGAUGCGUAGCCGACCUGAGAGGGUGAUCGGCCACACUGGGACUGAGACACGGCCCAGACCCCUACGGGAGGCAGCAGUAGGGAAUCUUCCGCAAUGGACGAAAGUCUGACGGAGCAACGCCGCGUGAGUGAUGAAGGCUUUCGGGUCGUAAAACUCUGUUGUUAGGGAAGAACAAGUGCUAGUUGAAUAAGCUGGCACCUUGACGGUACCUAACCAGAAAGCCACGGCUAACUACGUGCCAGCCGCCGCUGUAA